AUUGAACGCUGGCGGUAUGCUUAACACAUGCAAGUCGAACGGUAGCAGGCCUUCGGGCGCUGACGAGUGGCGGACGGGUGAGUAACGCGUAGGAAUCUGCCUGGUAGUGGGGGACAACGUGGGGAAACUCACGCUAAUACCGCAUACGCCUACGGGGGAAAGCGGGGACCUUCGGGCCUCGCGCUAUCAGAUGAGCCUGCGUUAGAUUAGCUAGUUGGUGGGGUAAAGGCCUACCAAGGCGACGAUCAGUAGCGGGUCUGAGAGGAUGAUCCGCCACACUGGGACUGAGACACGGCCCAGACUCCUACGGGUGGCAG
rnacentral:rRNA from 1 species